AAGCUGACUUGCUCGGCAGGAAUGCAUGUGAAGGUGAAAGGGGACAAUCUCUGAGGACCUGGGUGGGGCAAAGGACAGACCCCAGGACUGGACAGCUAGGGAAAGUGGUGUGGUGAGUUGAGAGCGGGAUAUUGAGAGCGGCAUGUACACAAGUGGCUUAGCUUUUAGUCCUGAAAAGGUCGGGAAGCAUUGCCUACACAGUCAUGCGAGGUCUCAAGCACGAGAUUUGGGGCUUUUGGAAGGAUCAGGUUCUUCUGAUUGCCCACCUCCCUCUGACCAAGCCCCUUCUCCAUCCCAGUGACACUGCUUUGUUCUUAGUACUGUCUCCCUUGCACCAGGGGUUACUCAGAAGGUUCUCAGAUGUUCUUUCCAAAGGCCACAAGGCCUCAUCUCAACUGUGCCCCACAGCUUUAUGGGUCGAGCAUCCGAAAUACAAAAUGCUCCAAAAUCCAAAACAUUUUGAGUGCUGACAUUACACCCAAAGGAAGUGCUCACUGAAGCGAUUUGGAUUUGGGAUUUUCCGAUUAGGGAUGCUCAAGUGGCAUGUACAUAACACACAUAUUCCAAAAUCAAAAAAAAGCUGAACUCCAAAACACUCCUGGGCCCAAGCAUCUCAGGUUAGGGAUGCUCAACCUGUAUUUGCACAGAAUUUGGGAGAGAGUUUAGGUGCUAUUGUUGAAUGGGUGGCUACCUCAAGUCAAACUGUGCCCUUUCCUGUACUAGGUGACAGUGCCAAGCCUGCCCUCCCCUCUAAGGUCAGAAAAACAAUGAGCAACGUGUGUCAAUGAGGGCAGCAGCUUCCAAACAGAUACCUGGGGAAACCUGGAAAUCUUCAGUGAUGUUUUGGUGGAGUGAGAACCUCUACAAGGGUUUGAUUCUAACUUCACUUUUAAAAUGCAUUUAGUUUUA
rnacentral:lncRNA from 1 species